GGUUGAUCCUGCCAGUAAUAUAUGCUUGUUUCAAAGAUUAAGCCAUGCAUGUCUAAGAAUAAGCGAACUUAUUCAGUGAAUCUGCGGAUGGCUCAUUAAAACAGUUUGAAUCUAUUCGAUGGAUGUACGAGAGUACUACAUGGAUACCCGUAGUAAUUCUAGAGCUAAUACAUGCAAGAACGCCCGGCUGCCUCGGUGGAUGGGCUGUAUUUAUUGGAUACUAAAACCAAACCUGGAAACAGGUUGCGUUUGUUGAUUCACAAUAACUGAUCGGACCGCACCUUAGGGAGCGG
rnacentral:rRNA from 1 species